rnacentral:rRNA from 1 species
GAUGAACGCUGGCGGCGUGCCUAAUACAUGCAAGUCGAGCGAACGGACGAGAAGCUUGCUUCUCUGAUGUUAGCGGCGGACGGGUGAGUAACACGUGGAUAACCUACCUAUAAGACUGGGAUAACUUCGGGAAACCGUAGCUAAUACCGGAUAAUAUUUUGAACCGCAUGGUUCAAAAGUGAAAGACGGUCUUGCUGUCACUUAUAGAUGGAUCCGCGCUGCAUUAGCUAGUUGGUAAGGUAACGGCUUACCAAGGCAACGAUGCAUAGCCGACCUGAGAGGGUGAUCGGCCACACUGGAACUGAGACACGGUCCAGACUCCUACGGGAGGCAGCAGUAGGGAAUCUUCCGCAAUGGGCGAAAGCCUGACGGAGCAACGCCGCGUGAGUGAUGAAGGUCUUCGGAUCCUAAAACUCUGUUAUUAGGGAAGAACAUAUGUGUAAGUAACUGUGCACAUCUUGACGGUACCUAAUCAGAAAGCCACGGCUAACUACGUG